rnacentral:lncRNA from 1 species
CUUGCACUUCAGGAACCUCUGAAGAAGGAACUACAGCGAAUGACCCGGGAGGGCAUCAUCGUCAAAGAAAAUGAGCCAACCGACUGGUAUAUUCCUGGGAAGCACCUUGUUCUUGCUGACAUGUUGUCCCGGUCAACUGCUGACAACCAAGACGAGGCUGGUGCUACUACCGACGUGGAAGUUCACGCAAUCCAGCUUCUAGGUUACCGUGUCACAAAAGCAACGCAGAAAGAACUGCAAGCGGUAACUGCUCGUGACCGCUACCUACAGUCGGUGAUCGCAAGUUUGUCGGAGGGGCUUCCAGUACAAGGUGAACUAAAGCCUUUUGAGCAAGAACUCUCAUUUGUCAACGGAAUACUU